UGGGGAAUAGUGUAACGGUAGCACAAGUGACUCUGGAUCACUUUGUCGGGGUUCGAAUCCCUGUUCCCCAG
rnacentral:tRNA from 2 species